AUUUCUCCGUGGACGAUGGCAGCCACGAUUCAGGCCAUGGAGAGGAAGAUUGAAUCGCAGGCUGCUCGCCUGCUUUCCCUAGAAGGUUGAACCAGGAUGGCCGAGAAGAAGCUGGCUGAUUGCGAGAAGACAGCCGUGGAGUUCGGGAACCAGCUGGAGGGCAAGUGGGCCGUGCUGGGAACCCUGCUGCAGGAGUACGGGCUGCUGCAGAGGUGGCUGGAGAACGUGGAGAACCUGCUGCGCAACAGGAACUUCUGGAUCCUGCGGCUGCGCCCGGGCAGCAAGGGCGGAGUCCCCUAAGACUACGCCAUCUCCAAGCCCGAGGUCCUCUCCCAGAUUGAACAAGAGAAGGAGCCCUGCAACUGGCGCCGCCCUGGCCCCAAGAUUCCAGAUGUUCCUGUGGACCCCAGUCCAGGGAGACCACAUCUCUGCAAGGCUCGACCCCUGAUUCCUCCAGAAGACCCGCCCUUGACCGUCCCACCUGCCUUGGUUUUGCCUUUCGUCUGACACUGAGAAAGGUGGUGUUCCACAGAGGCCCUCCUGUGCUCCACUUGUGUGAAAGUCUGAAUCUGCUCAAAGAACCUGCCUGCCUUGAUGAUAAGGGAACCCAAGCUUGAGAAAAGGACUCUGCCAAAAUAUCCAGUCGUGGACAGUGAAUCCUUCUGCCCGAUUUCCCAUGUUAGGCCCUUCAGCUGUUUGCCUGGAAACUACAUGGAGGAGUGGGAAAUAUCCACAUAAUUUGGGAUUAUUGGUGGCUCUGCUGCAUCUUGUGAAGCUUCUGGAGAUCCAGUAAUUUGGGUAACAUCAGAAUAUCCCAGAAAAGAACACAUCCUGCAUCUUGCUUUGUUUAGCUACCACCAUCAGAGGGGGCUCGAGAGACCACAGUUACUACCCAUGGUGUGCUCCUCUCACGCAAAAGGUUACAGACUACAAGGUUUUCAUCAUAUAAUAAUGAGAUGAGCCUUAGAGGACUGAUCAAAAGGUUCCAAUCAGCUUGCCCUUUACCUAUUCUUAUUUUUAUUUACUGAUUUUGGAAUCUGACUCCAGCUUCCUUUCCCUUGCUGGAGCCCGUGAUCUGUAUCUGUCUGCAUGGAGGAGAGAGAAGAGGUUGAUGGGAUCAGGUCAGUCCUCUGGGAAGUCCCAGCUGACUUCCUCCAUCAUCUCGCUCCUUGCCCACCGUCUCACAGAUCCUCCCAGAAUCCUGCUUUUCCCCAAUCCUUGGUCUGAGUAGGCCAGGGUGUGAGUCUGCAGCAGCCCCAGAUGGGAAAUCCAGAACCUGAGGGCACAGAGCCAAAGUCCAGGGUGCAGCAGACUAAGCUCAGAAAUCUAAGCUCAUUAGAUUUCUCAUGCCCAUUGAAGGUGGGCAUGAGACUGUGGCUGUUUCAGGUUCUCCUGUGCCACAGUGGAAGCUGGGUGCUGUGGAGAAUACAGCAGGACUUAGAGACAUGGCCCAGCCCUCUUGGGGAUCACGUGGAUGUCCCUGGGGAGAUUUUGGACUACUCUGCAGAAGUGCUGGAGUGGUACCCAGAGGGCUGCAGGAGGCAGGGGUCUGUGCCUUACAAACUUUUAAAGUCCAUAAAAUCAUUUGAGGACUAUUGAGUCUGCACUUCAGAGAUGUUGUGCAUCAGGGAUUAGAUAGGUUGUGUCAUUUUUCCCCAAGUGGGUGGAUUGGGUGGAGCUUAUGACCCAGGACCCACUUUGGUGAUUAAAAGUAAAACAGGGUAGGGGGCACCUGGAUUUGAACCAGGGACCUCUUGAUCUCUACUCAAAUGCUCUACCCCUGAGCCGUACACCCAGUCAUAGGAGGAUAGUGUAAUUAACACCAUUUUCGUGUGUCGACACACCAAGACCCAGCUCUGCCAGUUUGGAUGUCCAGGCCAGUUCUGUUUCUCUGAACUCUGGCCUCCCUCCUGUCCCUAAUACUUCUUUCUCCAUCAUCACUUCUGGCUAAGGACACCCUGGUGGCCUUGUUGACCUUUAUAAAUGGAGAGACCCUUCAGGUCAUCCAGAUAAUUCUCUUAGUAGCAAUUGUUGAGCAUCAUGUGAGGUGUGCUAGGCUGGGGACAGAACUGUAACUAGGUGACACCACCUUUCCCUGCACUGAAAGGAGACCCAGUGGCCAUGUCUGGAGACUUGUAUUUGACAUAGAAUACUGUUCGUGAUAAUUUGUCAAGUGAAAAGCAAAUUUCUUUUGUAUAUAAAAAAAAAAGAUACUCAAAAAAUAAUAGUCUUUUAAAAAUGUGGCACAGGUACACCAUGGAAUACUAUGCAUCCAUAAAAAAGAACGAGAUCAUGUCCUUUGGAGCAACAUGGAUGGAGCUGCAGGGCGUUAUCCUUAGCAAACUAACACAAGAACAGAAAACCAAAUACUGCAUGUUCUCACAAGUGGAAGCUAAAUGAUGAGAACACAUGGACACAGAAGGGGAACACUACACACUUGCACUUAGGGGGACAGGAGAGAAGAUCGAAAAAAUACAUAUGCAUAGUACAUGCCUGACGAAAUAAUCUGUACACCCAAUCUCCAAGACAUGAGUUUACCUAUAUGACAAACCUGCACAUGUACACCUGAACCUAAAAUAAAGUUAGAAAAAAAGAUUCUCUACAGAUUACCACUUGUAGGAAUUUAUCCUUCAAAAAUAUUCCUAUAAUUGCAUGAAGACACAUAUAUGUGGAGAUUCAUGGACAGUGGUUUUUAAAUUCCUCACAGCAAACACUGGAGACCAUCUAAAUAUCCAUUGGCAGGGAAUUGGUUAAAACCAGGCUUUGUCUCUUAACCUGGAGGGGAUGAGGAGAAGGUGAAGAUGCAGAGAAGCAGAGGAUGCUGAGGGGACUCUAUACCUUGGUCUUCUCAGUCAGGUAGAAAACAGGUCUUUCAAAGAGAAUAAAGGAGGUAGGGUGGGACUCAUUACUUGGCAAGAAGGGCAAAGCGUGAACCAGGCACUGUGGGAAAUGGAGAAUAGGUGAAUUAGAAAGGAAUAAAAUCAUUGCUCAUUAGGAGAGAGGCACUGGUUGAGGUCAGACUGGCAUAGAUUUGCAGUGGGACCAUUUGUCUGGCUGUACAAUUUAAUCCAGCAAAGACUGGCUCCUCCAGAGCAAAGGUGGGAAAGGCCAAUGGCAAAAGUGUAUCCGCAGA
ensembl:lncRNA